UUCCUCUAGUUUUUUGGAGGUAAAGCCUGCUCACUGAAUUUUAAAGAGCCGCAGUAUUCUGACUGUGCUAAGGUAGCAUAAUCAUUAGUCUUUUAAAUGGAGACUGGUAUGAAUGGUUUAACGAGAAAUCAGCUUUUUUUAUCAUAGACAUUGAAUCUAACUUCUCAGUGAAAAGGCUGAGAUGUAUCAAAAAGACGAGAAGACCCUAUAGAGUUUUAUAACCUUUCAUUACAAACCAAAAUUAGAUUUUUUUCAGGUUUAUAGUAAAAGAUUGUUUGGUUGGGGCGACAUUUAGAUAAAAAAAACUCUUUUUUAUGAAUAUUUUAUUAAAAAUAAAAACUGAUCCUUUAAAAAAGAUUAAAAGAAAAAAUUACCUUAGGGAUAACAGCGUAAUCUUUUUCGAGAGUUCUAAUCGACAAAAAGGUUUGCGACCUCGAUGUUGGACUAAAAUUAUGGCAGGGUGCAGCAGUUCUGCUUUUAGGUCUGUUCGACCUAUAAAAUUUUACAUGAUCUG
rnacentral:rRNA from 1 species